rnacentral:rRNA from 1 species
AUGGAUCGGAUGAUGCAUCUAAACCAGCACCACCAAUGGAGCAACCAACCAGACGCCGGAACGGCUAAUGGCACGGGCACCAGCGCUAGCGUCAGUACUGUCUCGCAGGUCGCCUUCGUGCUCGCCGCCGUUGCUUUCCUCUCCUUGUUCUCCUCGUCCUUGGCCUCUUCCCCUCUCCCUUCUGGUGCCGCCAUAUCUGCUCGCCUUGCGGCUUUGUGCGGCUUUGUCACGACCACGAAGGCGCUCUUCGUCCUUUCCAAUGCAAUCUUUCUCUUCCUCGCCUUCGAUUGCCGUUGCUGCUUCUUCUCCGGCGUCUGCGGCGUGGCCACCCCGUCCACGAGCGACGACGUUGUCAUCGCAGAUUCUGAGAUGCCAUCGUCUACCCUUCAAGUUCAACCAUGUCGCCUUUACUGCUGUAGCAACACUAAGGGUGCAUCAGCGGAUUGUUCCGGAGAGCAAGGGAGACGAGAAGAAGCGCCGGUGUCAUCGCGGUCGGCUGGGAUCGAGGCAGAGGAAGCCACCAUCGUCACCUUGGAGACAGGAACUUGCGGUGGAGUGGCUCAGGAGGAGGUAGAGAAGUUAGAGAUGGACGAGCUCAACAGGAAGUUUGAGGAUUUCAUCCAAAGCAGAAGAAUUAAAUGGCUCAGGGAGGAGGAAGUAUUGCAAUGCCAACAGCAACAGAUCGUCUAA